rnacentral:rRNA from 1 species
GUGGGGAAUCUUGCGCAAUGGGCGAAAGCCUGACGCAGCCAUGCCACGUGAAUGAUGAAGGUCUUAGGAUUGUAAAAUUCUUUCACCGGGGACGAUAAUGACGGUACCCGGAGAAGAAGCUCCGGCUAACUUCGUGCCAGCAGCCGCGGUAAUACGAAGGGGGCUAGCGUUGCUCGGAAUUACUGGGCGUAAAGGGCGCGUAGGCGGACAGCUUAGUCAGAGGUGAAAGCCCAGGGCUCAACCUUGGAAUUGCCUUUGAUACUGGCUGUCUUGAGUUUGGGAGAGGUGAGUGGAACUCCGAGUGUAGAGGUGAAAUUCGUAGAUAUUCGGAAGAACACCAGUGGCGAAGGCGACUCACUGGCCCAAUACUGACGCUGAGGCGCGAAAGCGUGGGGAGCAAACAGGAUUAGAUACCCGUGUAGUCC